AACGAACGCUGGCGGCAGGCCUAACACAUGCAAGUCGAGCGCCCCGCCAGGGGAGCGGCGGACGGGUGAGUAACGCGUGGGAACGUACCCUUUGCUACGGAAUAGCCUCGGGAAACUGGGAGUAAUACCGUAUGUGUCCUUCGGGAGAAAGAUUUAUCGGCAAGGGAUCGGCCCGCGUUGGAUUAGGUAGUUGGUGGGGUAAUGGCCUACCAAGCCGACGAUCCAUAGCUGGUUUGAGAGGAUGAUCAGCCACACUGGGACUGAGACACGGCCCAGACUCCUACGGGAAGCAGCAGUGGGGAAUCUUAGACAAUGGGCGCAAGCCUGAUCUAGCCAGGCCGCGUGAGCGAUGAAGGCCUUAGGGUUGUAAAGCUCUUUCAGGGGGGAAGAUAAUGACUGUACCCCCAGAAGAAGCCCCGGCUAACUCCGUG
rnacentral:rRNA from 1 species